rnacentral:tRNA from 1 species
GCUGGCAUGGCUCAGGAGGUAGAGCGUCUCAUUGGUAAUGAGGAGGUCACGAGUUCAACUCUCGUUGCCAGCU